UCCAACCCCANUUCUCCAGGCUUUGCUGA
rnacentral:piRNA from 1 species